rnacentral:rRNA from 1 species
CCUACGGGGGGCAGCAGUGAGGAAUAUUGGUCAAUGGGCGCGAGCCUGAACCAGCCAAGUCGCGUGAGGGAAGACGGCCCUACGGGUUGUAAACCUCUUUUGCCGGGGAGCAACGGGCGCCACGUGUGGCGCCACUGAGAGUACCCGGAGAAAAAGCAUCGGCUACCUCCGUGCCAGCAGCCGCGGUAAUAGGGGGGUUGGGAGCGUUAUCCGGAUUUAUGGGGUUAAAAGGGUGCGUAGGCGGUGCGUUAAGCAAGUGGUCAAAUUGAGGGGUCAAACCCCUUCCCGCCAUUGAUACUGGCGCCCUUGAGUGGAAGAGAAGUAGGCGGAAUGCGUGGUGUAGCGGUGAAAUGCAUAGAUAUCACGCAGAACCCCGAUUGCGAAGGCAGCAUGCCGGCUUCCGACUGACGCUGAAGCACGAAAGCGUGGGGAUCGAACAGGAUUAGAUACCCUAGUAGUC